AUGUGAUGUGAUUGUAAGUCGCUUUGGAUAAAAGCGUCUGCCAAAUGAAAUGUA
rfam:Astyanax mexicanus chromosome 25, whole genome shotgun sequence.